rnacentral:rRNA from 1 species
AGCGAACGCUGGCGGCAGGCCUAACACAUGCAAGUCGAACGAACUCUUCGGAGUUAGUGGCGGACGGGUGAGUAACACGUGGGAACGUGCCUUUAGGUUCGGAAUAACUCAGGGAAACUUGUGCUAAUACCGAAUGUGCCCUUCGGGGGAAAGAUUUAUCGCCUUUAGAGCGGCCCGCGUCUGAUUAGCUAGUUGGGGAGGUAACGGCUCACCAAGGCGACGAUCAGUAGCUGGUCUGAGAGGAUGGACAGCCACACUGGGACUGAGACACGGCCCAGACUCCUACGGGAGGCAGCAGUGGGGAACCUUGCGCAAUGGGCGAAAGCCUGACGCAGCCAUGCCGCGUGAAUGAUGAAGGUCUUAGGAUUGUAAAAUUCUUUCACCGGGGACGAUAAUGACGGUACCCGGAGAAGAAGCCCCGGCUAACUUCGUGCCAGCAGCCGCAGUAA